AUCACUGAAUCUCGGCAUAUUUUAGUGCUUUUUCUGCCGAGCUAAGCUAGCUGCGAAUUACACUACUUCCUUUUCCGUGUUAGCUGUGAAAGAAAAAACAUGCCGCUAGCAAAAGAUUUACUGCACCCUCUGCCCGCUGAGGAGAAACGCAAGCACAAGCUGAAGCGUCUGGUCCAGCACCCGAACUCGUACUUCAUGGACGUGAAAUGCCCUGGCUGCUACAGAAUCACAACUGUGUUCAGUCAUGCACAGGGCGUCGUGGUCUGCGCUGGCUGCGCCACUAUUCUGUGCCAGCCAACUGGAGGACGUGCCAAGCUGACAGAAGGCUGCUCGUUCCGCAGGAAGCCACAGUAAAAUGGUACUCUUCUUGGAUGAACCACAAAUUAUUAAUUUUUUAAUAAAAACUAAAACACGCCGCCGCUGUUCCCAAGGGAUUGAUUUGUGAGAAGCGAAGCCUGAAAGGCGAGCCGCCAAACAGAAUAAAAGCCGCAAGCAGCAGGAGCAGCGACAAUUUUUAUAUUAAGUAGUUUUUAAACUGGCAUGUAGACGCAACCAAAACGUUUGAACUACGGAGAAGGAUUUAACUGUGUGGCUGUAAAAUAGAAAGAAAGCUUGUAAUAUAAAAA